rnacentral:rRNA from 1 species
GACGAACGCUGGCGGCGUGCCUAACACAUGAAAGUGGAGCGACGAACCAGGCUUCGGCCUGGGGCAAAGCCGCGAACGGGUGAGUAACACGUGGGUAACCUGCCCUGAUGAUUGGGACAACCCGAGGAAACUCGGGCUAAUACCAAAUGUGCCCUUCGGCCACAAGGCCGCUGGGGAAAGGAAGCUUCGGCCUCCGCAUCUGGAUGGGCCCGCGGCCCAUUAGCUUGUUGGUGAGGUAACGGCNCACCAAGGCGACGAUGGGUAGCUGGUCUGAGAGGACGAUCAGCCACACUGGGACUGAGACACGGCCCAGACUCCUACGGGAGGCAGCAGUGGGGAAUCUUGCGCAAUGCGCGAAAGCGUGACGCAGCAACGCCGCGUGGGGAAGACGG